rnacentral:rRNA from 1 species
CCUACGGGUGGCAGCAGUGAGGAAUAUUGGUCAAUGGGGGGGAGCCUGAACCAGCCAAGUCGCGUGAGGGAAGACGGUCCUAGGGAUUGUAAACCUCUUUAGGCGGGGAGAAAGGCGGGGCAAGCGUGCCCGGAGGGAGAGGACCCGUAGAAUAAGCAUGGGCUAACUACGUGCCAGGAGCCGGGGUAAUACGGAGGAUGCGAGUGUUAUCCGGAUUUAGAGGGUUAAAAGGGGGCGUGGGCGGAUUUUUAAGUCAGCGGUAAAAUGUCCGGGCUAAACCCGGGACGGCCGUUGAAACUGGGGAGCUUGAGUGGGCGAGAGGUAUGCGGAAUGCGUGGUGUAGCGGUGAAAUGCGUAGAUAUCACGCAGAACUCCGAUUGCGAAGGCAGCAUACCGGCGCCCGACUGACGCUGAGGCACGAAAGCGUGGGGAUCGAACAGGAUUAGAUACCCGAGUAGUC